UUUAAGAGCCAGGCAGGCCAAGGAAGAGGCAGCCACAGAGACUAUGGAGGAGGAGGAAGCCUUGAGCAACUCUGGUGAAGGUACAGAGAGAGCAAGAGGGAAUAGCAGAGAACCAUAGCCAGGGAGAGAAAGGUACAGAAACCUCCCCGCUUCUCCAGUCGUCCAUUGCUUGCUGAGGCCAUGAGGCUCUGCAAAAGAGGAAGGAGCAUGUAUUGACAGCUGGAGUGAGGACCCUGUUUUGAAUUCCUUGAGGAAUCAGUUUUGCCUGUGAGGUGGAUGUGGAUGGCGUUCAUCACUCAAGGGACAGGGCAAUUCAGUGUCUUUUAAAAGAAAUGCACCAGUCAACAUGAUGGAACACAAUGGCACUGAAACAUCCACAGAAUUCUCUUAGACAUUUCCUUCUUUAUUUUACUCAAGUGUGCUAUCUGUUUGGUCACCGAAUGUAUUAUUUAUCAUUAUAUUAUUAUAAUUAUUGUUAUUAGAAAUAUUUAUAUAGUGCUUUUUCAGUGAUAGAGGUAUAUAAAUAUAUUAUUACUACUGCUACAACAACAACUAUUUUAUAUAUAUUCCUUCUAUUCUGCUGUCA